CGCACCAGAACGCAGGAGUUAUCGCGGUGUAACCUGGGUGUAACUGCCUUGUAGGAGGAGCAGAAUGUUCUGGCAGGACGGACAGUAAUUUUAACAGGAUAGCCAUUUACCAAGCUGCACGUUUCAUUUUAGGAGCACACGGCAUGCGUGGGUUAAAGUUAGCAAACAAGUUGAGUGAGCUGACAGAAGGCAAAAAAAAAACACAAACACCUCAAACUAAUUGAAUGGCUCCAAAAGAAAAAAAUACUGAGAUGGAAAGUCAAGUGCAACCGGUGUCAUCACAAAAUGAAGCUGAAGAAAAAGAUGGUGGAUCUGUGGACCGAUUUGAAUGCUUGAUUUCAUGAUGGACAACAUUGCUGCAUCCUCAAGAACCCUUUCAAGAAUGGCAAAGCAACGGGAGGUCUGCGUGACAGCGAUGGAGAGGCUGCAUCAUAGAGAAGGACAGAGAAUUGGGGGAAGGAGCAUUUCGUGGUGAUAGAUGAGUCACUUCAGACAUAAAAGAAAGUAUGGAAGGGGCAGGAUGGCUGGGGGCUGGAAGCGGAGGAAGUGGGUGUUCGGGAUGCUGGGGGUGCAAAGCACGCGGAGGCGGCCAGGGCGAAGACAUCCAGGGAAGCCGGUGCUUCGCUUGGUGGAGAAGAGGGGGAGGAGGGAACUGGUGCCACUCAUAGCUCAUCAUGUCAAAAGGGAGCAGACAUUUCCAGGGAGGAUAAACAGAGGGUAGCCUAU